UCGCAUCUCUAGGACAAAGUUGAAAAUUUCGUGCAAAAGUUGGGAAGAGCGCGUGCACGCUCGAUUCCUAUCAAAACGACUUUUUGGGCAGAAAGGUUAUAACCAAUACAACUGUACCUCUUUAACAAAAUCUUGGUCAGAACAAGUCUAUUAAUUAGCAUUUGUAUCAUAUCUCAUCCACCAUGCAGCCAGACCAGACCACAAUGUUAUUAUUGGCAACAAGUUUCUUCGUUUCGUCGUAGUGAGGUGAAUUCGAGGAUAAUGAUGCUGUUGGGAAG